rnacentral:tRNA from 1 species
GGUCCGUUGGUCAAGGGCUAAGACACCGCCUUUUCACGGCGGUAACACGGGUUCGAAUCCCGUACGGACUA